GACAGAGGUGCCGAGCGUUAGGCGGAAUCACUGGGCUUAAAGCGUGUGUAGGCGGAGGCCUAAGUACCUUGUGAAAUCCCACGGCUCAACCGUGGAACUGCUGGGCAUACUGGCGAUCUUGGGCCAACUAGGGGCAACUGGAACAAGCGGUGGAGCGGUGAAAUGCGUAGAUAUCGCUUGGAACGCCAAAGGUGAAAACAGGUUGCUGGGGUUGUGCCGACGCUGAGACACGAAAGCCAGGGGAGCAAACGGG
rnacentral:rRNA from 1 species